CCUACGGGGCGCAGCAGUGGGGAAUAUUGCACAAUGGGGGGAACCCUGAUGCAGCGACGCCGCGUGAGUGAAGAAGUAUUUCGGUAUGUAAAGCUCUAUCAGCAGGGAAGAAGAUGACGGUACCUGACUAAGAAGCCCCGGCUAACUACGUGCCAGCAGCCGCGGUAAUACGUAGGGGGCAAGCGUUAUCCGGAUUUACUGGGUGUAAAGGAAGCGUAGACGGCAGGGCAAGUCUGGAGUGAAAGCCCGGGGCUCAACCCCGGGACUGCUUUGGAAACUGCCAUGCUGGAGUGCUGGAGAGGUAAGCGGAAUUCCUAGUGUAGCGGUGAAAUGCGUAGAUAUUAGGAGGAACACCAGUGGCGAAGGCGGCUUACUGGACAGUAACUGACGUUGAGGCUCGAAAGCGUGGGGAGCAAACAGGAUUAGAUACCCCUGUAGUC
rnacentral:rRNA from 1 species